rnacentral:tRNA from 1 species
UCCCUGGUAGCCUAAUGGUUAAGGAGCCAGCAUUGUCAAUGCUGUGACACAGGUUCGAUCCUGGGCCCAGGAA